CUUCAAUUGGGAAUAGAAAUCGUAGGAGUGAGUUCUUCAGCUGGAUUCAACAAAUUAUAUCAAGCCACGCUGGACUGGUACAGUGGGUUCUGCUUCAUUGUGUUCAGCAGCCUUGGAUUUGUCAGUAUUAUUCCAAUCAUGUAAGUAAAGAUAUCAUAAAGUUUGAAUAUUGUACACAGAACACAGGGAGAGAGAACUUGUCCACGUUAGUGCUUGUAAGCCAACCAAUUAGUGUGCUCUGCUAGGCAAGCCUUGUCUCCCACAAGACUUGCCUGGGAUUAACCCUGUCUGUGUAACUUAUUUACUUCCAUGCUCUUAUAACCAUGUAUGACUGAUGAGAUGUCAAGCAGGGAGCUGAAGACAGCUGACUGUCCUAGACCAAUAAACAAGCACAUGGUGCUUUAAUAGUAAAAAAAUAUCUAGGCCUCUUUGAAAAAUCACAAGGUAUCUAAUGAAAAAUAAAGCCAUCUGCAUUCCAGUCGGUGACAUAUUUGUAGUUUAUUCAGACAAAACAAUUUUUUGAAAGGCAUAUGUCUAGUGUGUCACAAACUGGAGUAAGGAUCAUUUUAUUUCCUGCUGAAUUAGGAGGACCUAGAGAUGGAGGUCUCCUCCUGACAGUCCACAUCCAGUGAGUCUUGAUAUAAAUUUUCUAGGCACAAAGUCCCUGUGUCAUAAUCCAAACCAGGAUUCAACAAUCGCAAUAGUAAUGAUUUUUGCAGGAGUGAAUUAAUGAUGAAUUUACUGUUAUUCAUUUCAUCUCUUGUCCUCAGUAUUACAGCCUGCUUUCAAAGAUCGCGGACGCUACAUUACAGAAGCUGUUUGAAUGGAGAAACAGAGUAUGGGAGUACUAUAAAUUAACUGUAUUGUUUCUACUGGCACAGACACUAAUUCAGAAUAAAAUAUAAUGUAAGGUUGAAUCGAUUUUUUUACUUUUUUUUACAAUUUUGGAUUUUUAACUUGAGUGGUGUUGUUUGCACAUACUCAGAAUGCUUUUUGUAUACUGAUAUUUUUGAAAAGAAAAGUUAACUUUUUUAGUGUAAACAGACACCUCAAUCUAAACAACAUUAUGUAUAUGUAAUGUUAGCAAUA